CCUACGGGUGGCAGCAGUGAGGAAUAUUGGUCAAUGGACGCAAGUCUGAACCAGCCAUGCCGCGUGCAGGAAGACGGCUCUAUGAGUUGUAAACUUCUUUUGUACGAGGGUAAACGCAGAUACGCGUAUCUGUCUGAAAGUACCUGACGAAUAAGGAUCGGCUAACUCCGUGCCAGCAGCCGCGGUAAUACGGAGGAUUCGAGCGUUAUCCGGAUUUAUUGGGUUUAAAGGGUGCGUAGGCGGUCGGAUAAGUUAGAGGUCAAAUCCCGAGGCUCAACUUCGGACUCGCCUGUGAAACGGUGAGGCUCGAGAGGAGUUGAGGUAGGCGGAAUGCAUGGUGUAGCGGUGAAAUGCUUAGAGAUCAUACAGAACACCGAUUGCGAAGGCAGCUUACCGAGCUACUUCUGACGUUGAGGCACGAAAGCGUGGGGAGCGAACAGGAUUAGAUACCCUUGUAGUC
rnacentral:rRNA from 1 species